UACAGAGGUCCCAAGCGUUGUUCGGAUUCAUUGGGCGUAAAGGGUGUGUAGGCGGCGCCGUAAGUCAGGUGUGAAAUCUCGGGGCUUAACUCCGAAACUGCAUUUGAUACUGCGGUGCUUGAGGACUGGAGAGGAGACUGGAAUUUACGGUGUAGCGGUGAAAUGCGUAGAUAUCGUAAGGAAGACCAGUGGCGAAGGCGGGUCUCUGGACAGUGACUGACGCUGAGGAGCGAAAGCGUGGGGAGCGAACAGG
rnacentral:rRNA from 1 species